GGAUGUGAGGGUAAUCUGGCUGUGGCAUCUGUCAUCUCACUGAUUGCCAGCAUUGGUUCACCUGACCUAGCUGGCUAGGCAGAUGUCCCCUUCUUCCUCCACCAUUCCCCACCAACGCUGCGUGCUCAGUUGAAGAGGAUGACCAUUCCCGCUAGAGGAGGACCUGUGCUCCUCUGCUAGGAUGGGUAGCAUUUACUUAUAGUGGCAAAGAAGCCUUGGGCCUUUGUAGAACAUGAGAAAAUGCCCAGGC
rnacentral:sRNA from 1 species